CCCUAGUAAGCGCAAGUCAUCAGCUUGCGUUGAUUACGUCCCUGCCCUUUGUACACACCGCCCGUCGCUACUACCGAUUGAAUGGCUCAGUGAGGCUUUCGGACUGAUCUAAGGGAGGAGGCAACUCUUCCCCCUGGUCGGAAAGUUAUCCAAACUCGGUCAUUUAGAGGAAGUAAAAGUCGUAACAAGGUCUCCGUUGGUGAACCCGCGGAGGGAUCAUUACUGAGUUUACGCUCUAUAACCCUUUGUGAACAUACCUAUAACUGUUGCUUCGGCGGGUAGGGUCUCCGUGACCCUCCCGGCCUCCUGCCCCCGGGCGGGUCGGCCGCCCGCCGGAGGAUAACCAAACUCUGAUUUAAACGACGUUUCUUCUGAGUGGUACAAGCAAAUAAUCAAAACUUUUAACAACGGAUCUCUUGGUUCUGGCAUCGAUGAAGAACGCAGCGAAAUGCGAUAAGUAAUGUGAAUUGCAGAAUUCAGUGAAUCAUCGAAUCUUUGAACGCACAUUGCGCCCGCCAGCAUUCUGGCGGGCAUGCCUGUUCGAGCGUCAUUUCAACCCUCAAGCUCUGCUUGGUGUUGGGGCCCUACAGCUGAUGUAGGCCCUCAAAGGUAGUGGCGGACCCUCCCGGAGCCUCCUUUGCGUAGUAACUUUACGUCUCGCACUGGGAUCCGGAGGGACUCUUGCCGUAAAACCCCCAAUUUUCCAAAGGUGACCUCGGAUCAGGUAGGAAUAC
rnacentral:rRNA from 1 species